rnacentral:rRNA from 1 species
UACGGGGGGGGCAAGCGUUGUUCGGAAUUACUGGGCGUAAAGGGCUCGUAGGCGGCCAACUAAGUCACACGUGAAAUCCCUCGGCUCAACCGGGGAACUGCGUGUGAGACUGGAUGGCUUGAGUUUGGGAGAGGAAUGCGGAAUUCCAGGUGUAGCGGUGAAAUGCGUAGAUAUCUGGAGGAACACCGGUGGCGAAGGCGGCGUUCUGGACUGUUUCUGACACUGAAUAACGAAAGCCAGGGGAGCAAACGGG